AAAAGCAUUUUCUGGUUCGACCUCAGAAGUCGAAAGUUUAUCGGUUGUAGUUUCCGCUAUCUCAUAUCAGCCUUUUUAUCAGUUUCUGGAUUCGAUCUCUUCCUUUUCGUCUACAUUCUUUCCUUCUUCUAGUUUAUUUGUAGACUCCAAUCCCUCCCAAGUUCUCCUUCUCUCCAUGGAAGGAAAAAAAGAAGAAGAGCAGGUCAUGAGCGAGGUACACCUGGGCUGCCCUCCUGGUUUCUCCGGUUCCUACGUCUCCCAUUUCACUUUCUCCCUUCCAUCAACAGCUUGUCUUUUUCAUGUUAAAGAGGUUACUGGCUAAGCUAGGGAGAUCAGAAGUGCAAUUCCAACACAGUUAAUUAUUCAACUUAGAUAUGCCAGAUGAAAGAUCUGAUGACCAACUCAAGAUGGAAAUGUCUUCGAGCCAAGAGAUUAUUUUGGAUGAGGAUGGUGAUCUUCUCCUGACUCGUCGAAAGAAUAAAAAUUGGAGAUAUCUGAAUUAUGGAUUUACAAUCCGACAUAACAUCACCUCAUCACUUGGAAAUGUUGGCUUGCAAGUGUGGAGAGCAGCAUUGGUAUUAACUGAAUUUAUUUGGCAUAAAAGUUUAACCUCAUCUGACUUUAAUGACAUCAUUGCAUUAGAGCUCGGUGCAGGCACAGGUUUAGUUGGUAUAGCACUUGCAAGAGUUGCUAGGACAGUCUUCAUAACAGAUAGAGGCAUGGAAGUUUUAGAUAAUUGUGGAGCUAAUGUUCAACUCAACUCUGGCCUGCUUAAGUUCCAUGAACCUUCUAUUCAUAUUCGAGAACUUGAUUGGAAGGAAGGAUGGCCUCCUAAUUUGCAAACAUGUGACUUCUCAUCUCAGCAGAGUCUUUACAAUAAUAUACAUCGACCAAGCAAAUUGGCAGUUGGAGCGGAUUUCUCCUGUUUCAAACACAAGAUAGAGCCAAAAUGGGAGGACCCAGUCUGUGCGAAUGGAGGAAAAUGGACCAUAAGCUGCUCUAGGGGGAAGGUUGAUACUUGGUGGUUAUACACAUUGUUAGCUAUGCUUGGGGAGCAGUUUGAUCAUGGUGAAGAAAUAUGUGGGGCAGUCGUCAAUGUACGAGCAAAACAAGAAAAGAUUUCUAUCUGGACAAAAAAUGGUUUGGAUGAAGCUGCUCAGACAUUUGUUGUCCUUGACUUCCUAAAUUGCUUUUGUGACUGGCAUGCUCAAAGAUGUGUAGAUCUACCAUCCACAAAGUUAGUUAUAGGCAACAAUAUACGUGAUAAACAUAUCCUGCCAGCAUGGAAUCGAUGAGGUAUAAAGCCAACGGUGAUACACUCGUGCACCUUCAUGCUUCAUGCCUUAAUUCAACAGCUGAUCCUCUUAUAAAAUGGGAUGACUCUGUGGUUUGAGGCUAAUUGAUGCAUGGCUUCUGCUAGUAUCCUGUUGUUUCUAGUUGGUCAGAGGCAAACUGUGAGUCAACUGGGUUGUCUGCAUUUUUUAUUCUGGGUGCUUCUGGAAGUCAGCCUGAUGGAAAGCUGAUCGUAUCAACACCAAGUGCCAUUUGGAUCGAUCAAAUGUCAUGCACCAUCUGACGUGGAUCAUGACUAAACAUGGCUUGCUGUGUUUCAAUUUCUCACAGAUCACUCAAUGUGUGAGCAUUGGGAAACAAUGGAAGGCGAUCCUGGAUUACAAUGACACUAUUGGUUUUAUACUGCAUGAUGAUGCAAAGAAGCAUGACAGAUUCGCCAAGAGCCGAUAUCAAAUAUGAUCUUGUUAUGUUAACAAGUAGCAUGAACCUAUGAAUUCCUCUUUCUAGCAGCUAACUAGAAGCAAGUGGUGAUGGUAUAUAAAUAGUGUAUGGUUUCCUUUUUUAGGGUAUUUUCGGUGGAUACCGACUAUUUAUUUCUUUUAGUGGUCUCAUUCCUUCUUGAUCCCUGUAUAGCUUUUUCUGAUGUCAAUCUACCUGCUAACCUCUUUUAAACAGCUGAUCUCUCUCUCUCUCUUUUUUUUUUUUGUUGCUAUUUUCUUAAAGUAAUGUUGACUUGAUGCUU